GAUGAAGAACGUAGCGAAAUGCGAUAAGUAAUGUGAAUUGCAGAAUUCAGUGAAUCAUCGAAUCUUUGAACGCACAUUGCGCCCGCCAGUAUUCUGGCGGGCAUGCCUGUUCGAGCGUCAUUUCAACCAUCAAGCCCCCGGCUUGUGUUGGGGACCUGCGGCUGCCGCAGGCCCUGAAAAGCAGUGGCGGGCUCGCUGUCACACCGAGCGUAGUAGCAUACAUCUCGCUCUGAGCGUGCUGCGGGUUCCGGCCGUUAAACCACCUUCAUAACCCAAGGUUGACCUCGGAUCAGGUAGGAAGACCCGCUGAACUUAAGCAUAUCAAUAAGCGGAGGA
rnacentral:misc_RNA from 1 species